UACGUAGGGUGCGAGCGUUAUUCGGAAUUAUUGGGCGUAAAGGGCGCGUAGGCGGCUGUACAAGUCAAAGGUGAAAUCCCUCGGCUCAACUGAGGAACUGCCUUUGAAACUGUACGGCUUGAGGCCGGGAGGGGGUAGCGGAAUUCCCAGUGUAGCGGUGAAAUGCGUAGAUACUGGGAGGAACACCAGUGGCGAAGGCGGCUACCUGGACCGGUUCUGACGCUGAGGCGCGAAAGCGUGGGGAGCAAACGGG
rnacentral:rRNA from 1 species